rnacentral:misc_RNA from 1 species
GGCAGAUUGCCUCAUUGCCUGCAUUUGACCUAUUGUGAAUACUCCUUGCCCGAAGAUGAAGUAGAUGCCAACAGUGAGAAUUUUAAGAUUUUAGUUUCAUGUGCCUGCAGCAAUUUUGUCGUGUAAAUAUGUAGUUCACAUUUAGUUUUAACUUCGGUUGGAUCUUUUGUUUUAAUCUCUCAAGUAAACGUUUGAACAUCUUAUAACAUUG